UGCAUCCAGGAUGGUUACCUUUCCCUGCUGACAGAAACUGGUGAAGUUCGUGAGGAUCUUAAGCUGCCAGAAGGUGAACUAGGCAAAGAAAUAGAAGGAAAAUACAAUGCAGGUGAAGAUGUACAGGUAUCUGUCAUGUGUGCAAUGAGUGAGGAAUAUGCUGUGGCCAUAAAGCCCUGUAAAUAAAUGGGAACAUCAGGUGUGAGCACACUGUUUAGGUCUGGAUCAACUACAGAUCUAAAGUUUGGUUCCGAGUUGUCACCAAAGCCAUGGCCUUCAUAAGCAACCUCAUUUCUUUCUUUAAUUGUUUUGGACUUGUGCUGAAUUCAUUUGCAGGCAAUUGGUAAUUUUUUUUUAAAAAUCAAAAUGUAUGAUUCAUUUUUUAAUUUUGUAGGUGUCUUUCUCAUAACAUUCCUAUUGUUUUCUGUGAGUCCAAGCAACAGACAAGAUAGCUUCAGCAGAUGUGAUUUGUUUGAGCAACUCAUCCGUAAAUUUUAAUUAAAUGAUAAAUAAACCAGGGUUUUAAAUCAAACAAUGUAGCAUCUAAUGGUAGUGAAGUACCACAUUUAAGUUGAAUUGUUCUGCAUCAAUUUCAAGCUUAAAUCAUAGAAUAAGAAAAUUAUUGAUUGGCAUUUUCAGUUUCAACCUGGCAAGGACAAAUCCAUAAAAAAAAAAA